rnacentral:rRNA from 1 species
AUUGAACGCUGGCGGCAUGCCUUACACAUGCAAGUCGAACGGCAGCACGGGAGCAAUCCUGGUGGCGAGUGGCGAACGGGUGAGUAAUAUAUCGGAACGUGCCCAGUAGGGGGGGACAACUGCUCGAAAGAGCAGCUAAUACCGCAUACGACCUGAGGGUGAACGGGGGGGAUCGCAAGACCUCUCGCUAUUGGAGCGGCCGAUAUCAGAUUAGCUAGUUGGUGGGGUAAAGGCCUACCAAGGCAACGAUCUGUAGUUGGUCUGAGAGGACGACCAGCCACACUGGGACUGAGACACGGCCCAGACUCCUACGGGAGGCAGCAGUGGGGAAUUUUGGACAAUGGGCGCAAGCCUGAUCCAGCAAUGCCGCGUGCAGGAAGAAGGCCUUCGGGUUGUAAACUGCUUUUGUCAGGGAAGAAAUCCUCUAGGUUAAUACCCUUGGGGGGAUGACGGUACCUGAAGAAUAAGCACCGGCUAACUACGUGCCAGCAGCCGCCGUAAAAC